rnacentral:rRNA from 1 species
AUUGAACGCUGGCGGCAGGCCUAACACAUGCAAGUCGAGCGGAUGAAGGGAGCUUGCUCCUGGAUUCAGCGGCGGACGGGUGAGUAAUGCCUAGGAAUCUGCCUGGUAGUGGGGGAUAACGUCCGGAAACGGGCGCUAAUACCGCAUACGUCCUGAGGGAGAAAGUGGGGGAUCUUCGGACCUCACGCUAUCAGAUGAGCCUAGGUCGGAUUAGCUAGUUGGUGGGGUAAAGGCCUACCAAGGCGACGAUCCGUAACUGGUCUGAGAGGAUGAUCAGUCACACUGGAACUGAGACACGGUCCAGACUCCUACGGGAGGCAGCAGUGGGGAAUAUUGGACAAUGGGCGAGAGCCUUAUCCAGCCAUGCCGCGUGUGUGAAGAAGGUCUUCGGAUUGUAAAGCACUUUAAGGUGGGAGGAAGGGCAGUAAGUUGAUACCUUGCUGUUUUGACGUUACCAACAGAAUAAGCACCGGCUAACUUCGUG